UGCAUAUCAUGAAAAAGCAAAAGACAUCAAGAUCUAACUAAAUGAAAAAAGCAUAGACGUGAUAAGGGCGCAGCUUUAGUUUGAAAAGUUAAAAGUUUGUAUACAGAAAAAUCACGAAUAUGAUAUCUAACUGGCAGUUGGAUUUCUUUUUUUUUUUUGAAUGUUGUUGAAAUGGAUGCGAAAAAUAAACAGGUUGACAAACGUGUAGAGAUUUUAGAAGUAGCAAAAGUAAUUUUUAUGAAUUUUUGUGGGAAGCAGUUGUGGCAAAUAAUUGUAUUGUAGUUCAUUAUAACAAAUGCACCAAGUUGUAUUAUCAGUUUGGUUGUUAUACAUGCUGUUUAACAUGUCUAUUCUUUAAAAGAACAGUUAAGUAUUGCACAUAGCAACCAAUAAAAAGUAGAAGAAGAGAAUGAAGAUAUGAAUAAACAGCUUCUUGAAUUAGUCAUAAAAAAAGAUAAACUGCAAGCUGAUUUCAGCCAGGUGGAAAUUUUAAAUUCAAUUAUUGUGGAAUUG
rnacentral:lncRNA from 1 species